rnacentral:rRNA from 1 species
CCUACGGGUGGCAGCAGCGGGGAAUAUUGGACAAUGGGCGAAAGCCUGAUCCAGCCAUGCCGCGUGUGUGAAGAAGGCCUUCGGGUUGUAAAGCACUUUCAGUGGGGAAGAAAGCCUUGGGGCUAAUACCCUCGAGGAAGGACAUCACCCACAGAAGAAGCACCGGCUAACUCCGUGCCAGCAGCCGCGGUAAUACGGAGGGUGCGAGCGUUAAUCGGAAUUACUGGGCGUAAAGCGCGCGUAGGCGGUCUGAUAAGCCAGUUGUGAAAGCCCCGGGCUCAACCUGGGAACGGCAUCCGGAACUGUCAGGCUAGAGUGCAGGAGAGGAAGGUAGAAUUCCCGGUGUAGCGGUGAAAUGCGUAGAGAUCGGGAGGAAUACCAGUGGCGAAGGCGGCCUUCUGGACUGACACUGACGCUGAGGUGCGAAAGCGUGGGUAGCAAACAGGAUUAGAUACCCGUGUAGUC